rnacentral:tRNA from 1 species
GGCUGGUUAGCUCAGUCGGUUAGAGCAUGGUGCUGGUAACAUCAAGGCCGUGGGUUCAAUCCCCGCUCAGUCC